rnacentral:rRNA from 1 species
UACGUAGGGUGCAAGCGUUGUCCGGAAUUAUUGGGCGUAAAGAGCUCGUAGGCGGUUUGUCGCGUCUGCUGUGAAAACUCGGGGCUUAACCCCGGGCCUGCAGUGGGUACGGGCAGACUAGAGUGCGGUAGGGGAGACUGGAAUUCCUGGUGUAGCGGUGAAAUGCGCAGAUAUCAGGAGGAACACCGGUGGCGAAGGCGGGUCUCUGGACAGUUCCUGACGCUGAGGCACGAAGGUCAGGGGAGCAAACGGG